rnacentral:tRNA from 1 species
UAGCCAAGUGGAUUAAGGCAG